CAUUUUGGUCAUGUUGACUUAUUUGUAGAUCUUACUUUGCUGAACAUUAUUGCUGUUUACAGUUUAUCUCUAUCUAUAAUAAUAUUCAAGAUAAUAACCAAAAACAGCAAAAUUUCCUUAAAAUUACCAAUUUAGGGGCAGCAACCCAACAAUGGGUUGUCCGAUUCAUCUGAAAAUUUCAGGGCAGAUAGAUCUUGACCUGAUAAACAAUUUUACCCUUGUCA
rnacentral:lncRNA from 1 species